AUGUAUUCAAUGCCCAACGGGGAGCAAGAGCAAGCUCUGGAAGGCGAUGCGAGUGGCGGCGACAGUGGCGAGUGGACUUCCAAUGGUGAAGGGGAUGGAGGAAGCGACGACUCAAGUGAUGGAGAAGAAGUCGAGUCGCCCCCUCGCAGGGAGAGGCGAUCCAAGCUUGACCAAGAACGGCCGAGUGCCCGCGACAAGGUAACUGCUCAGGCUGGCCAGUCUUUGAAGCGUCCUCGGAUCUCUUCACCAACCCCGACUGAGAAGGCGCCCAAGCACCCCAAAGUUGCAGAGCCGAGGACUCGGAAGGCGUUGCCGAAGAUCAAGAUUGAUAUCCCCGUCGCCUCCGCCGUUGCCACUUCCGGGACCUCAGCUUACAGGGAUGAUGAUGAGGUGAUGGAGGAUGCGGUCACUUCUAAUCCGGCUCCCAACAUUAUCGACCUCCCUGAUGAUGAUGAAGAGCCCGAGAGGCCUUUGAUGAGGAAGAAUAGGCGAGCUCCUGUAAGUGAGGCGCUACAGUCGACGCCGAGGGCGGAACUAGUCGUUCAGGACACUGGCGACGUCAAUCGGGGUUCUGUUACCUUCGCCGUGCCACUGUCGAGUGCCUUGCCUUCUUCGUCGACUGCUCAGGCCCCUGUCGACCCACCUUCAGUUUUUGCGACCCAUCAUGUCCCAGAGGACGAGGUGAAUGCUGCUAGGGAAGCCAUACGCCAGGCGGGCAUUAUGAUGGAGAAGAUGAAGACGGUGCGGGACGCCAGCCAAGCCGCCUAUGAUGCCAGCUCGGCUCUCCAGAGCAACGUUCAGGUUAGUUGGUCGCCGCUUGUUUUGUUAGGAUAUGCUACCUGA
rnacentral:rRNA from 1 species